GUAUUGGACAAUGGGGGCAACCCUGAUCCAGCCAUGCCGCCUGUGUGAAGAAGGUCUUCGGAUUGUAAAGCACUUUAAGUUGGGAGGAAGGGCUUUAGGUUAAUACCCUGAAGUUUUGACGUGUCAUACAGAAUAAGCACGGGCUACAUCUGUGCCAGAAGCCGCGGUAAGACAGAGGGUGCAAGCUUGAAUCGGAAGUACUGGGCGUAAAGGGCGCAGAGGUGGUUCAGUAAGAUGGGUGUGAAAUCCCCGGGCUUAACCUGGGAACUACUUUAAUAACUGCUGGGCUAGAGUACGGUAGAGGGUAGUGGAAUUUCCUGUGUAGCGGUGAAAUGAGUAAAUAUAGGAAGGAACACCAGUGGCGAAGGCGACUACCUGGACUGAUACUGACACUGAGGUGCGAAAGCGUGGGGAGCAAAC
rnacentral:rRNA from 1 species